UACAGAACUGCAGCCCUCCAGCUGUUGGUCAACCACAGCUUCCCAGCAUCCACCAACAGCCUCCAGCCACUGAGGUUGCGGAGAGUUUUAGUUAACAAACCAUAUUCCUAAACUCUAAGUCAUUAAGACAUCUACUGGGUCUGUGUAAUGCUUGUGCAACAGGUUUUAGCCUUUGGCUCAACCAGCCCUGCAUGGUAUCCAGACUCAUACUACAAGACUUGCCAUGCACCUGGUAUCCCACAUUCUAUUGAAUGUCUGAAGGACUGCAACUGCAGAAAAUGAAGAAGAGAAGCUACAGAUGAUGCACCAUGCACCUGCCAAUGUAGUCAAUCCAUUUGGACGAUUAAUCUGAGACCAACAGGAUUACAGAGAAGAAGCAGACUAGUAAUGCUCUGCAGACAACAAGCUGUGAAGCACUGAGUAGGAACAACGCCCUACACCUCACUGAAAUUACCAAGGAUCCGCCCUUGAGCUGACACUGGAAUGCAUCAUGUGUUUAUGCUUGUUCUUUAAAGCCUGUCAACAUUCUUCAAAUAAUAAAUGUUAGUGCCUAUGAAGACCAGAGAGAGGACACAUCAAGGCCUGAAGUAGUUCUUGCAUAAAUUGAUUGUUACACCGGCAUGAUAGAUGUCUGGGUAUCAGCCAAAUAGGGCAGGUCAUUGUAUGCCAAUUUGGUCACCAUCUUACUUUGCCUCAUGUAUGAUCAGCUUUGAAGAAGAGGGUGGACUGAUAAUGCAGGAAGGCUGCAGCCCCCAUUUGAAUGAGUGGCAUCCGUAAUAUACUCAAUAACUCACGUAGUGUAACCAAAUGUUUACAAGUUGUUGAACUUCAACUUCCAGCAAGCACCAACAGAUUUUGGAUUUUAGAGGAACCUAAUUCAGGCCUAUGGGCAUUGAACUCCUCACUCUCUCUAAACAGUAUAUGAUAAAGACACAAAUGAUCUAGAGCCCAGUGCCCUUCCCCUAAAGCUUGUAGACCCCAGAAUAGCAGCAUAGUCCUGCCUCAGAUAACAUAGAUUAUUCUAUACCAACAGCCCUACUUUUUUUCAUUUUUGAUCUAGAAUAUUCAAACAAAGCAUAUCAAAGUGUUUCCUAUUUUAAUACACCUGUUAUACAGAAUGCUCAGGUCUGGAUAACUUAUCUUUCUGUAAUUUCGAUCUUCAUACCUUAAAUCUA